UAGGGAAUCUUCGGCAAUGGACGGAAGUCUGACCGAGCAAUGCCGCGUGAGUGAAGAAGGCUUUCGGAUCGUAAAGCUCUGUUGUUAGAGAAGAACGUUGGUAGGAGUGGAAAAUCUACCAAGUGACGGUAACUAACCAGAAAGGGACGGCUAACUACGUGCCAGCAGCCGCGGUAAUACGUAGGUCCCGAGCGUUGUCCGGAUUUAUUGGGCGUAAAGCGAGCGCAGGCGGUUCUUUAAGUCUGAAGUUAAAGGCAGUGGCUUAACCAUUGUACGCUUUGGAAACUGGAGAACUUGAGUGCAGAAGGGGAGAGUGGAAUUCCAUGUGUAGCGGUGAAAUGCGUAGAUAUAUGGAGGAACACCGGUGGCGAAAGCGGCUCUCUGGUCUGUAACUGACGCUGAGGCUCGAAAGCGUGGGGAGCAAACAGG
rnacentral:rRNA from 1 species